ACGCUGGCGGCGUGCUUAACACAUGCAAGUCGAACGGAAAGGCCCUGCUUUUGUGGGGUGCUCGAGUGGCGAACGGGUGAGUAACACGUGAGUAACCUGCCCUUGACUUUGGGAUAACUUCAGGGAACUGGGGCUAAUACCGGAUAGGAGCUCCUGCUGCAUGGUGGGGGUUGGAAAGUUUCGGCGGUUGGGGAUGGACUCGCGGCUUAUCAGCUUGUUGGUGGGGUAGUGGCUUACCAAGGCUUUGACGGGUAGCCGGCCUGAGAGGGUGACCGGCCACAUUGGGACUGAGAUACGGCCCAGACUCCUACGGGAGGCAGCAGUGGGGAAUAUUGCACAAUGGGCGGAAGCCUGAUGCAGCAACGCCGCGUGCGGGAUGACGGCCUUCGGGUUGUAAACCGCUUUCGCCUGUGACGAAGCGUGAGUGACGGUAAUGGGUAAAGAAGCACCGGCUAACUACGUGCCAGCAGCCGCGGUGAUACGUAGGGUGCGAGCGUUGUCCGGAUUUAUUGGGCGUAAAGGGCUCGUAGGUGGUUGAUCGCGUCGGAAGUGUAAUCUUGGGGCUUAACCCUGAGCGUGCUUUCGAUACGGGUUGACUUGAGGAAGGUAGGGGAGAAUGGAAUUCCUGGUGGAGCGGUGGAAUGCGCAGAUAUCAGGAGGAACACCAGUGGCGAAGGCGGUUCUCUGGGCCUUUCCUGACGCUGAGGAGCGAAAGCGUGGGGAGCGAACAGGCUUAGAUACCCUGGUAGUCCACGCUGUAAACGGUGGGUACUAGGUGUGGGGUCCAUUCCACGGGUUCCGUGCCGUAGCUAACGCUUUAAGUACCCCGCCUGGGGAGUACGGCCGCAAGGCUAAAACUCAAAGGAAUUGACGGGGCCCCGCACAAGCGGCGGAGCAUGCGGAUUAAUUCGAUGCAACGCGUAGAACCUUACCUGGGUUUGACAUGGAUCGGGAGUGCUCAGAGAUGGGUGUGCCUCUUUUGGGGUCGGUUCACAGGUGGUGCAUGGCUGUCGUCAGCUCGUGUCGUGAGAUGUUGGGUUAAGUCCCGCAACGAGCGCAACCCUUGUUCACUGUUGCCAGCACGUUAUGGUGGGGACUCAGUGGAGACCGCCGGGGUCAACUCGGAGGAAGGUGGGGAUGACGUCAAGUCAUCAUGCCCCUUAUGUCCAGGGCUUCACGCAUGCUACAAUGGCUGGUACAGAGAGUGGCGAGCCUGUGAGGGUGAGCGAAUCUCGGAAAGCCGGUCUCAGUUCGGAUUGGGGUCUGCAACUCGACCUCAUGAAGUCGGAGUCGCUAGUAAUCGCAGAUCAGCAACGCUGCGGUGAAUACGUUCCCGGGGCUUGUACACACCGCCCGUCAAGUCAUGAAAGUUGGUAACACCCGAAGCCGGUGGCCUAACCGUUGUGGGGGAGCCGUCGAAGGUGGGACUGGUGAUUAGGAC
rnacentral:rRNA from 1 species